rnacentral:misc_RNA from 1 species
GAUGAAGAACGUAGCGAAAUGCGAUACUUGGUGUGAAUUGCAGAAUCCCGUGAACCAUCGAGUCUUUGAACGCAAGUUGCGCCCGAAGCCACUAGGCCGAGGGCACGCCUGCCUGGGCGUCACACGUCGUUGCCCCCCCCCCAUCUACUCCUUCGGGAUUGCGGGGGGCGGAUGAUGGCCUCCCGUGCGCCUAGCCGCGCGGUUGGCAUAAAUACCAAGUCCUCGGCGACGCACGCCACGACAAUCGGUGGUUGCGAAACCUCGGUUGCCCGUCGUGUGCGUUCGUCGCGCAUCGAGGGCUCGAAAAAAUGCUCGGCUCCGGCUCGGCUUUCAACGCGACCCCAGGUCAGGCGGGGUUACCCGCUGAAUUUAAGCAUAUCAAUUAAGCGGAGGA